UUUGGCUCCUUCUCUUUAUCACUUCCAGUUCGGGCCUUGGUCCACACGGCCUUCAGACGGUGAGUGCUGAUCUUUGGCAGAUCUGUAGCAGGUGUCCUCAUCCUGUGUUCAUUGGAUGUUAUCCCAUCCAAGCAGGCAUUUUAACACAAGCAGACUUCUAUCAGCUAUUGCACUACUAUGUCUAAGCUUAAUUAACAACAAAAUUAGAAACUAUAUCUUUGGAACAAAGUUACUUUAACAUUACACAUAUAAAAUUCAUUUUAAUAUUUGUCAAAAGCCAAUAUUAUAAUAUUUAUUGAUAACACUCCUCUCCGGCAAGGCUUCCUCAACCUGGGCAAGAGACUGAGACUUGAUCCAACUGUGGCCUUCCAGGACCUGAGGGCAACCCACAAGAAAGCUGGACAGGGGCUUUGUAGGAGGGCAGGCAAGGACAGGACAAGGGAGAAUGGAUCCAAAUGGAAAGAGAGUCGGUUUAGCUGAGGGAUUCAGAAAAAAGACUCUCCUGGAACAGCUUGCCCAGAGAAGGUGUGGCUGUCCCAUCCCUGACAGUGCUCAAGGCCAGGCUGCAUGGAGCUCUAGACAAGCCGGGCUAGUGCAAGGGGUGCCCAGCCACAGCAGGGGGGUUGCAGCCGUGUGAUUUUUCAGAUCCCUUCCAAGCCAAACCAUGCCACGACUCCAUGAUUCUGGGAUACUUCCCCUCCUCAUCCUCUGUCAGAAAAACAAACUUGGCCCCAAGUUCCACAAUGCAGACCAUGUCCUUUGGCAGCCUGCAACUGUCUCAACAGAGGAUGGAAAGAGAUGACAUUACUGAGACAAUUUCCCUAUUCUACUUGAAAAUUAAAUGCUGCACUCCUGUCCAAAAACUUCUGUCAGAAAUUGUCAGAAGAGGCAAUUCUUCCCCAUGAAAUGCUACACCUCAGCCAAAGAAGAAAGAAGCCACAAGCCAACACUCUUCUUUAUUGCUACAUUGUUUGAUUUGGUUACUUCUCUAAUAGGAAUUCCUUUGGGGUUUUAUUUCUUUGUUUCUCUCUUUCGUUCCGCGGGGCGCGCGGUGGCUCCUCUGUUGGGUUCGCGGAGGCAACGGAGGAACGUUCGCGAGCUGCGGCGGUUCAGCAGCAGCAGCAGCAGCAGCAGCAGCAGCAGCAGCAGCAGCAGCAGCAGCGCUUCUCUCGAUCGGUUUUCCGCUCGACUUUCCACUCGCUCCCCAUCCCCUUCUCCCUCUCACACUCACUCUACUCCCGUCCCAUCCCGUCCGUGUCCCGCCUCUCCCAGCCUGGCUGAUGCUGGAGUACAGCCCACCGGAGUGGAUCCUCUUUGGCUACUACCAUGGCCAGCCAGCCACCAUCUGGUCCCUGGGCAUCCUGCUCUAUCACCUGGUCUGCGGGCACCUUCCUUUCCACACAAACGAGGACAUCGUCCGGAGCCAGCUCUUCUUCCCGCCCUGGGUGUCUCAAGAGUGCCAGCACCUCAUCAGGUGGUGUUUAUCCAUGGACCCCACAGACAGGCCAUCACUGGAAGACCUUUUUGAGCAUUCUUGGCUGCAGGAGCCCUGCCUGGCCCAGGAGACAGCAGAGAUCCAUCCCUGUGCUCAGUAGGAUCCAGGAGCCCAGCAAGUACCAGCUGCACCCGUCUGGUGGCACUCCAAGAAAACCCCGGAGCGUUUUCCUGCGGCUGCAGCACGGAGGAGAGAGCGCAGCCGAGGAGAUGCUUCCGCUGGUCCCCGGCGAGUUGUGGAGGGAGCGGCUCAGUGCUCCCCGUGCCAUUGGAGAAGUGGUGGCAGUGCGGUGAAGGUGCCACGGACUGGAACAGGGGAAACAUCCCCCUGCAGCUCAAUGGCAUCGGGAUGUCCCCGCAAGCCGAGGCACAGCUGGCGUGUUCUUCUGGAGCACCACGUGGAGCUGGGAACACCAUCCUGGAGCUGGCCGCUGGCGGGGCAAAGCCGAGCGGCUUUGGCUGCGGCCCCUUCCUGGAGGACACGCUCUGCGCCCCGAUGAAAUCAAGAUGAGUCCCCAGCCGGCGCAGGGGCGGGGGGAUGCUCGUGCUUCCAGGCAUGGCAGGGCUCGGCCUGGCCACGCGCAGCAGGUUCCCCGCUCGGCGGCGCUGGGGAAUAUUAAUUUUUUCCCCUGGCUGCCGAGCUGCUUUUUGGUGGGACAGGGGACGGAUGUUGUGGAAGGGGAGCCGGCUCCUGGCCUUGCUGACAGCUUCUGCCAGCCAGCCUGGCACGGGCUGGGGCGGGGGCAGCCAGCCUGACAAAGCAUCCAUCCAUGUGGAUGGGGGCAGCAGAGGGGGACGGGUUCCGAAGCCGUGCCCCAGCUGGUCUGCUUUGCAGGCCCUCGAGGAAGGGGUGCGUUUACAGGCGGGAAAGGUGGGGUUUUUCCCCACCCAUGGACAGGUUUCAUUCUCGCAUGGAGUGGUCAGACCCUCCUCAGGCCCGUGAAACGGUGACAGGCUGUGUUGUUUUUCUUGUUUCCAGGUCUUGUUUUGAAUUGACUUUCAUGCAAUUGUUCUUUAUUUUCCCAGGAAGAUUACACCUGGUGCCCGGACUGGACGAGGAAGCACCUGCACCAUCCGUGGAGCACAUCCAGUGCCAGCGCUACCCCAGGGGCCACGGCCUGCGGGGACAUCCCCUUCAAGAAGGACGAGGACCUCGUGUGGCAUCAGCUCCUCUCCUGGCAGCAGGUCUGCAGAGGUGGGUACCCGGCUCCACAGCUGGGCUGGCAGAAGGGCUUCGGGCAGAGGGCAGCGGGCACACGGGCAUCCCGCCCUUGCAGCUGCUGAGGAGGCUGCUGUGCUGUGCUGAAGCGGAGGAGGUGGAACGUGGCCUGCCACGCUGCCCUUCUCUCGAAACAGAGAAUGGCUCGGGAGGUUUGGGCUCUGAGCACAGCCAGCAGCCUGGCCCGGGCACAGGCCAUGGCAGGACAGGGCACAGGAGCCUUCUGUGACUGACCGUGGCUCUCUGGUUUCUCUCCGCAGGCUGCCAGCACCUCAUGCCAUGGAAACGGCUCCGCUCGGCCUGCCAGGCUGGGAGGGCUGGAGGGCGGCGGGUGUUCAUUUGCUGUCAAAAAGAAAUCGUUCUAUUUUUUUGUCA